UGGCAGAGUGGCCAGAUGGAAGCCUCUCCUCAGUUAAAGACACAUGAAAGCUGCUUGGAGUUUGCAAAAAAAAAAGCAUCUAAAGGACUCUCAGACUGUGACAAACAAGAGUAUCUGGUCUGACGAAAACAAGACUGAACUGUUUGGCCUCAGUUCUAAGCUUCAUGUCUGGAGGAAACCAGGCAGCGCUCAUCGCCUGCCCAUUACCAUCCCAACAGUGAAGCAUGGUGCUGGCAGCAUUGUGCUGUGGGGGUGUUUUUUUUCAGCAGCAGGGACAGGGAGACUGGUCAGGGUUGAGGGAAAGCUGAACGGAGCAAUAUACAGAGAGAUCCUAAAUGAAAACCUUGUCCAGAGCACUCCGGGCCUCAGACUUGGCCGAAGUUUCACCUUCCAACAGGACAAUGACCCUAAGCACACAGCCAAGACAACACAGGAGUAGCCUAGGGACAACUCUGUGAAUGUCCUAGAGUGGCCCAGCCAGAGCCCGGACUUGAACUCAAUCGAACGUCUCUGGAGAGACCUGAAAAUGGCUUAUAGUCGACGGUCCCCAUCUAAUCUGACAGAGCUUGAGAGUAUCUGCAGAGAAGAAUGGCAGAGAGUCCCUGAAUCCAGGUGUGCUAAGCUUGUUUUGUCACACCCAAGAAGACUCGAGGCUGUAAUUACUGCCAAAGGUGCUUCAACUAAGUACUGAGUAAAGUGUCUUAAUACUUAUGACAAUUGUUUGCAGCCACAAAUCUCCUCCUCACUUGGAUGUACUGAAACAAAAGGUGAGAUGAGGUCAGAUUAUUAAAAUAACACACAAUAAACUGAGAAUAAAGAAUGAUCCUUUAAAAGCAGUUUGAUUUUGACUUGAUUUCCCUGGCCAAAUUGUCCCAGAUUUGCUUGAAUAAUAAAUGUAGGAACAAA